GACAAUGACAACGUCCCAGAUAUUGAUGAUGUGUGUCCUGAAAACAAUGCCAUCAGUGAGACAGACUUCAGGAACUUCCAGAUGGUCCCCUUGGAUCCCAAAGGGACCACCCAAAUUGAUCCCAACUGGGUCAUUCGCCAUCAAGGCAAGGAGCUGGUUCAGACAGCCAACUCGGACCCCGGCAUCGCUGUAGGUUUUGAUGAGUUUGGGUCCGUGGACUUCAGUGGCACAUUCUACGUAAACACUGACCGGGACGACGACUAUGCUGGCUUCGUCUUUGGCUACCAGUCAAGCAGCCGCUUCUACGUGGUGAUGUGGAAGCAGGUGACACAGACCUACUGGGAGGACCAGCCCACGCGGGCCUAUGGCUACUCCGGUGUGUCCCUCAAGGUGGUGAACUCCACCACGGGGACGGGCGAGCACCUGAGGAAUGCGCUGUGGCACACGGGGAACACACCAGGGCAGGUGCGAACCUUAUGGCACGACCCCAGGAACAUUGGUUGGAAGGACUACACGGCCUACAGGUGGCAUCUGACUCACAGGCCCAAGACCGGCUACAUCAGAGUCUUAGUGCAUGAAGGAAAACAGGUCAUGGCAGACUCAGGACCUAUCUAUGACCAAACCUACGCUGGCGGGCGGCUGGGUCUAUUUGUCUUCUCUCAAGAAAUGGUCUAUUUCUCAGACCUCAAGUACGAAUGCAGAGAUGAACAUCUAACCCACUAGAGGAAACCAGUUUGAUGAUAUAUGAGACUUUAUGUGGAGUGAAAAUUGGGCAUGCCAUUACAUUGCUUUUUCUUGUUUGUUUAAAAAGAAUGACGUUUACAUAUAAAAUGUAAUUACUUAUUGUAUUUAUGUGUAUAUGGAGUUGAAGGGAA
rnacentral:sRNA from 1 species